rnacentral:rRNA from 1 species
AAUUGUAGUGCCGGUGAAGAUGCCGGCUACCCGCAGAAGGACGGAAAGACCCUAUAGACCUUAACUGUAAGCUGUUACUGUUUAUUCGAUUACAAUGCUCAGCAUAAGUGGGAGACGUUGAAGUGUGUUUUUAGGAGCACGUGGAGUCGCCAGUGAGAUACCACCCUUUGUGAUUGGAUAAUCUAACCCCGAGCCGUAAUCCGGCCGGGGGACCGUGGCAGCCGGUCAGUUUUACUGGGGCGGUAUCCUCCUAAAGAGUAACGGAGGAGCGCGAAGGUUGG